CGGACGGGUGAGUAAUGUCUGGGAAGCUGCCUGAUGGAGGGGGAUAACUACUGGAAACGGUAGCUAAUACCGCAUAACGUCGCAAGACCAAAGAGGGGGACCUUCGGGCCUCUUGCCAUCGGAUGUGCCCAGAUGGGAUUAGCUAGUAGGUGGGGUAACGGCUCACCUAGGCGACGAUCCCUAGCUGGUCUGAGAGGAUGACCAGCCACACUGGAACUGAGACACGGUCCAG
rnacentral:rRNA from 1 species